rnacentral:lncRNA from 1 species
CUCAACGCACUGCAUCGUGUUACUGCAAAAGUGCUGAUUCAAUGGAGUUUGAUGGUUGGUACCCGAGACCUAAGUUCGAAUCCUAAUUGAUUCACAUUUCCAACUAAGUUUAUUUCUAAAUGAAAUAAACAAAGCGGGUAACAUGCUGCCUUUCUCUCUCUAAAAAAAAAAAAAAAAACAAUUUUUGCUUAUCAGGCUUUAUCUGAAAUUGGAAGGAGAAUUAUGUUACAUACGAUGAAAAAAUAUGAUAGAACCAUAUUCUAUUUAUUUUCAUAAAGGACAUU